AGUGCAGCUGUGUGUGUGACAGGGGGGCUUGAUAUGGAAAGUACUUCAAAGAUAAACCUUAAGAAACCACGAGAAAAGUUAAACACAGAUCAGCAGGGUCUGUAUGUGCAGCCUUUUGUGAUACAUUGCUGGGAGGUGCUGAGGUAGAGAGGACAGGAGCGCUUGAUGCUACAUGACUGGGCUGUGCCGAGCUGGAUGGGACAGGGGAAACUGAUGCUGCAUCGCUGGGCUUGUCUGAGGUAGACGGGACAGGAGCGCUUGAUGCUACAUGACUGUGCUGAGCUGGAGGAGACGGGGGAAACUGAUGCUGUAUCGCUGGGCUUGUCUAAAGUAGAGGGGACAGGAGUGCUUGAUGCUGCAUCACUGGAAGGUGCUGAGGUGGAGUGGACAGGAGAACUUGACGCUAAGAUGGCCCAGGAUUUGCAGGAAGGGUGAGCAACUGGAACAGUGACAGGACGUCAUCA